AUUGAACGCUGGCGGAUGCUUUACACAUGCAAGUCGAACGGCAGCACGGACUUCGGUCUGGUGGCGAGUGGCGAACGGGUGAGUAAUGUAUCGGAACGUGCCCAGUCGUGGGGGAUAACGUAGUGAAAAUUACGCUAAUACCGCAUACGAUCUAUGGAUGAAAGCGGGGGAUCGCAAGACCUCGCGCGAUUGGAGCGGCCGAUAUCAGAUUAGGUAGUUGGUGGGGUAAAGGCCCACCAAGCCAACGAUCUGUAGCUGGUCUGAGAGGACGACCAGCCACACUGGAACUGAGACACGGUCCAGACUCCUACGGGAGGCAGCAGUGGGGAAUUUUGGACAAUGGGCGAAAGCCUGAUCCAGCCAUUCCGCGUGCAGGAUGAAGGCCCUCGGGCUGUAAACUGCUUUUGUACAGAACGAAAAGGUUUCUACUAAUACUAGGAGCUCAUGACGGUACUGUAAGAAUAAGCACCGGCUAACUACGUGCCAGCAGCCGCUGUAA
rnacentral:rRNA from 1 species